UGAUGUAGUUCCCUAUGUAGUGCUCUAUGUAGUUCCCUAUGUAGUGCUCUAUGUAGUUCCCUAUGUAGUGCUCUAUGUAGUUCCCUAUGUAGUGCCCUAUGUAGUUCCCUAUGUAGUGCUCUAUGUAGUUCCCUAUGUAGUGUUCUAUGUAGUUCCCUAUGUAGUGCCCUAUGUAGUUCCCUAUGUAGUGCUCUAUGUAGGGAAUAGAGUGCCAUUUGGGAUGCAUUCUUUAUCUUCACCCCAGGGGCAUCAAUUGGGUAAGGCAGACAUACCCUAGUUUAACGCCAACAAUUUAAAAUAGGCUACUAAAAUCAGUCCAAUCCCCAGUAAAAGGCAAAUUCAGUUUAGUGGGUAUUGAUGACUGACUUUAGGACUAUACGGAGGCCAGGGAGCGGGAGGGAAAGCUGUUUGUAUGGCUGGCUGGCUGGUUGGCUUUAUGAAGAGGGCACACAGCUGCAGGGAACUUUUUCUCAAAACAGUGCAGAGUUAAGAUGUCUUUGGCUAGGUAACUGAUGUUUGACUUGACAUGAAACUAGACUAGAGUUUUAAUCCCUGUGCUGAGCUAGUGUGUAGCAGCUAAUUACUGAAUGACGUGUUUUGUAGAAUGUUAAGUCCCCUAUUGACUGAGGUGAACGGUGCUACAGGAACACGGUGGUAAUGGCUGGAGUCAAUUUAGCUUGUUUUUGCUGUUCUCCCAUUUGCUUUUAAGAAUUUUUUAAUUUUGUAGAAAUAAAGUAAAUGAGCUUCAAUUUGGUUUAGCUGAAAUGACCCCCUGCUUCACACCAAUGCACCCUCCCUCCCUGACACAGAGAGAUUAAUUACACAUAUGGAGGAGGUGCAGAUGGUUCUGGGAUGGAUGAAGCUGACUGUCAAUGGAUGAACUGUGAACUGGGUGAAUGGGUGAACUGCAGAUGGAUGGAUGAACUGCAGAUGGAUGUGUGAACUGCAGAUGGAUGGGAUAACUGCAGAUGGAUGGGAGAACUAUAGAUGGAUGGAUGGGUGAACUGCAGAUGGAUGGAUGUACUGUAGAUGGAUGGAUGGGUGAACUGCAGAUGGAUGGAUGAACUGUAGAUGGAUGGGUGAACUGCAGAUGGAUGGAUGGGAGAACUGCAGAUGGAUGGGAUAACUAUAGAUGGAUGGAUGGAUGGGUGAACUGCAGAUGGAUGGGAGAACCAUAGACGGAUGGAUGGGUGAACUUCAGAUGGAUGGGUGAACUGUAGAUGGAUGGGUGAACUGUAGAUGGAUGGGUGAACUGUAGAUGGAUGGAUGGGUGAACUGUAGAUGGAUGGAUGGGUGAACUGCAGAUGGAUGGGAGAACUAUAGAUGGAUGGAUGGGAGAACUUCAGAUGGAAGUGCGAACUGCAGAUGGAUGGGAGGACUAUAGAUGGAUGGAUGGGAUAACUAUAGAUGGAUGGAUGGAUGGGUGACCUGCAGAUGGAUGGGAGAACUAUAGAUGGAUGGAUGAGUGAACUGCAGAUGGAUGGAUGGGUGAACUGUAGAUGGAUGGGUGAACUGUAGAUGGAUGGGAGAACUAUAGAUGGACAGGAGAACUGCAUAUGGAUGGGUGAACUGCAGAUGGAUGGGUGAACUGUAGAUGGAUGGGAGAACUGCAGAUGGAUGGAUGGGAGAACUGCAGAUGGAUGGAUGGGGGAAUUGUAGAACUGUAGAUGGAUGGGUGAACUGUAGAUGAACUGCAGAUGGAUGGGUGAACUGUAGAUGGAUGGGUGAACUGUAGAUGGAUGGGGUAACUAUGGAUGGAUGGGUGAACUGCAGAUCGAUGGGUGAACUGUAGAUGGAUGGGUGAACUGCAGAUGGAUGGGUGAACUAUAGAUGGAUGGGAGAACUAUAGAUGGAUGGGCAAUCUGCAGAUGGAUGGGUGAAUUGUAGAUGGAUGGGAGAACUAUAGAUGGAUGGGUGAACUGCAGAUGGAUGGGUGAACUACAGAUGGAUGGGAGAACUAUAGAUGGAUGGAUGGAUGGAUGGGAUACCUGCAGAUGGUUGGGUGAACUGUAGAUGGAUGGGAGAACUGUGGAUGGAUGGGUGAACUGCAGAUGGAUGGAUGGAUGGAUGGGAGACCUGCAGAUGGAUGGGUGAACUGUAGAUGGAUGGGAGAACUGCGGAUGGAUGGGUGAACUGCAGAUGGAUGGAUUGGUGAACUGUAGAUGAAUGGAUGGGUGAACUGUAGAUGGAUGGAUGGGUGAACUGCAGAUGGAUGGAUGGAUGAACUGUAGAUGGAUGGAUGGGUGAACUGCAGAUGGAUGGAUGGAUGGGUGAAUUGUAGAACUGUAGAUGGAUGGGUGAACUGCAGAUGGAUAGAUGGGGGGUGAACUGCAGAUGGAUGGAUGGGUGAACUGUAGAUUGAUGGAUGUGUUAAUUGUAGAUGGAUGGGUGAACUGCAGAUGGAUGGAUGGAUGGGUGAACUGCAGAUGGAUGGAUGGAUGGGUGAACUGCAGAUGGGUGGAUGGGCGAACUGCAGAUGGAUGUGUGAACUGCAGAUGGAUGGGUGAACUGUAGAUGGAUGAACUGCAGGUGGAUGGGUGAACUGUUGAUGGAUGAACUGCAGAUGGAUGGGUGAACCGUAGAUGGAUGGAUGGGUGAAUUGUAGAUGGAUGGGCGAAAUGCAGAUGGAUGGGUGAACUGCAGAUGGAUGGGAGAACUGCAGAUGGAUGGGAGAACUGGGUGAAUGGGUGAAACAGAGUGGGUGAGUGGGAAGCCAAUGAAUGAUUGAUGUGUAUAUAUAGGUAGUUAAAACAUGUGUGUGGUUCUGUUAGGCUCAGUCGGUAGAGCUUGGCGCCUUGCAACGCCAAGGGUCGUGGGUAUGAUUCCUGAUGGGGACAACAUUAUGUAACAUUUAUACCCAAUAGCUGCAUUUAGUAACGCUAGUAUUUACACACUAGUGGUGCUGGGAAUUAGCUUGCAAAAAAACAGAAUAGUCCGCCGGAAGCCAGAAGUUAAAUUAAAUUUUAAUUGUCUGUAUGUUCUGUCCUAAUGCAGGGAGGAAUUUGAAGAAACACAUCUAAUAGCAUAUAAAUUACUUUCCAAACCGGGGUCUGUUGUGGACCCACUUCCUCUCCGCUUACCUCAUGUCAAAAUAAGUCCUGCAUGUGUGCCAUAUCUGCACAAAAAAGCAAGAACUUGUGGGCGACUUUUAUUUUGCCAUGAGGUAAGCAGAGAGAAAGUGACCUCUGAGGAACUGCACGGGUCCACACAGACCCACGUUUGGGAAGUCUGUUUAGUUAUAGUACAUUCCAUGAGAUGUUUUUCUCUCUCAUUCUCCCCUGCAUAAGGGCCAAGCCUACAGACAAAUCGACAGAGUAAGUUGAAAUUCAAUUUUGUUACUGACAAACGGCUUCCGGCGGACUAUUCUAAUACCCAGCAACACUAGCGUGUAAAUACUAGCAUUACUAAAAGCAGCUAGAUACACACGCAUGACUCUAAGUCACUUUGGAUAAAAGCGCUUGCUAAAAUGGCAUGUUGUUGUUAGACCAUAAGUGCUGUCGACCGACGACUACAGGGGGCUUUACAACUAAAUAUAAAUAUCCCGCAUGUGCCUAUACAAUAAUAUUGUCUUAUUCUUCUGGGCUCGUAUUCAUAAAGUGUGUCAGAGUAGGAGUAAUGUUCUCGGAUCAGGUCUCCCCAUAUAGUCUUAUUAUAAUCUAAAAACGUAUCCUAGAACAGCAAUACUACUCUGAGACACUCGAUGAAUACAAACUCUGGUUCGUUGUUGAGUUUAGUUCUUGUGAAUAUGAUAAACUGCUCUGUAAUGUGGUUUUAAUCAAGCUGCUCUGUAAUGGGGUUUUAGAGUGGUUUUAAUCAAGCUGCUCUGUAAUGGGGUUUUAGAGUGGUUUUAAUCAAGCUGCUCUGUAAUGGGGUCUUAGAGUGGUUUUAAUCAAGCUGCUCUGUAAUGGGGUCUUAGAGUGGUUUUAAUCAAGCUGCUCUGUAAUGAGGUUUUAGAGUGGUUUUAAUCAAGCUGCUCUGUAAUGGGGUUUUAGAGUGGUUUUAAUCAAGCUGCUCUGUAAUGGGGUCUUAGAGUGGUUUUAAUCAGUGGACAAAGUCCUCUACCAUUCUACUAUCUCAGGACAAGCUUCUGAAGUGAAUGUAUGACAUGUUUUUAUGCAUUUAAUUUGAAUUUUUUGCCACCUGUGUUUUACAGUAUAUGUUCUGCAUGUGUUUGAACCAUCUGAGCCUCAUAAAGUGGUUUCAUCUGACCAAGCAAUCUUUGUUGA